AAAGCACUGACAUGUAACUAGGAAAUGAGACAGGUGGUCAGGGAAUAUAAAUGAUUUGCAUAAUAAAAUCUCAGAGGGCGAGGAGACUGGUUGAACUAACAACAGCAACAACAAAAGCAUCAGUUAAUGAGGUUUGAGAACUUUGAAAAGUCAAAAUAAAGUUGCUUCUAGCUUACAUUUAACAAAUGCAAAUUAACUAUAUGCACUGGUUUAAAACACACAAACAA
rnacentral:lncRNA from 1 species